rnacentral:lncRNA from 1 species
AUGUUCUUGGUAUACGAAGAGCAUGAGAGAGCUUCGCCUUUGGUUUUUCACUCUGCUCUGGCUAGUGCAGCUGUAAACAUUGACUCAUUUUUCCCACCUCCUCAAGCUGGAGACAGAGAAAAGAAAGUGCCCUUAAAUGUUUUCACUAUUUCUUCUAGAAAAACAAAACAGGGAUUUGUGUACAAUGCAGGUACUGCUGAGGGACAGGAGGAAAAAGGCACUGGAAGAAUGAUGCCACUGGGUGAAAGUACUGGAAUUAAACAUUUGCCCAGCCAGAGCACUCAUAACCACUUCAGGAGUCACUUUAGAAGGGAACCUCUGUAUCACCACUGGCCUUUCAAAGUGGAAAUCCCUUCGGCAGGAGAUGUCUUCUGCUGUGUCUCUGGCAUAGCCCUGCAGAAGUCCUGCCUGAGGCACACAGGUAAAAGCUGAAAGAUGCUGAAAUAGGAUUUAGAUGUCAGAGUGCAACUUAGCUUAUAACCACACUGUACUAGCAUCACACAGUGCACACAGACAAAGCAAUUUCUCACAUCCUUGCUCGGGAAUACCAAAAUCUUAUGUUGCACUUCAGCACCGUGAUGGAUAAUGAUGACUGUCCACAUAGAUAACCCAUGUGGAGAUGAGGUCUUUUUCUCUCUCCCAAGGGGUCUGCAGCCCACAGUCUGUUGUAGGCUGGUUCCUGGGGAAAGUACAGUAUCUUACUACAAAGCAUGAUAGCAUCAUGCCAUGUGAGUGCUUGGGAGGGCACCCCCAUAGGGCACCACCGUGCUGAAUCCCCGUGGGCAUUUCUCAGUAACGUUAUACUCUGUCAACCUGUCACUGAAACCAUUUUUAUGUAUUUUACAUCUGCCAGCUGGGUAUCAGGUAUCUGUACCCUUCUCUGGUGGCUCUGUGUCAACAUCCCCAGGCUGAUCUGCCCAGGAACUUCUGCCUCCUCGAGCACAACCGAUCACUUUACCACCUAAAAACCACCCUCCCGUGUGCUCUCACGACACUUUCAGUGUUGCACCAGCCAGGGAAGCAUUAUCAGAUAAAAGCCUGGGCUGAGUAUGAAGCAGCAACAGCCCUAAACCCCCUCCAGCUCAGCCUGCAGCUCGGGCUGAUCUGGUCCCAGGGGAUGUGAGUGUGUGGUGGACCUUGGUGGGCCCUUCAAGUUGGCAUUAGACUUCUCAGUGAAGUGCAGUAGGUUUUUUGUUGUUGUUGUUGUUGUUUUGUUUUGUUUUUUUUUUUCCACAUCCCAAGUGAUGCCCUUCCUGGUCUGGUUUGGGUCCGGUCAUUUCUGAAGCCACCCGAAAGUUGCCUGCAGACAGGAGGUGACCAAAGCCACCCACCUCCUCCACCAUCCUCCAGGGAACUGCUGCGAAGGUCAGACAGUCUGUGGGGUGGCCCACUGGCAUUUUAGAGAAAAUAAACCCCAGAAACCUAAAAUUUCCA